UACGUAGGGUGCAAGCGUUGUCCGGAAUUAUUGGGCGUAAAGAGCUCGUAGGCGGUUUGUCGCGUCUGCUGUGAAAACUCAGGGCUUAACCCUGAGCCUGCAGUGGGUACGGGCAGACUAGAGUGUGGUAGGGGAGAUCGGAAUUCCUGGUGUAGCGGUGGAAUGCGCAGAUAUCAGGAGGAACACCGGUGGCGAAGGCGGAUCUCUGGGCAAUUCCUGACGCUGAGGCGCGAAAGCCAGGGGAGCAAACGGG
rnacentral:rRNA from 1 species